UGUGGGCCACCUAGUCACCAA
rnacentral:miRNA from 1 species